ACAACGGAGAGUUUGAUCCUGGCUCAGGAUGAACGCUAGCGGGAGGCUUAACACAUGCAAGCCGAGGGGUAUUUAAUUUUCGGAUUAGAGAGACCGGCGAACGGGUGCGUAACGCGUAUGUAACUUGCCCUUAUCGGGAGGAUAGCCCGAGGAAACUCGGAUUAAUACUCCAUAAUAAUAAUUAUGGCAUCAUAAAUAUUUAAAAGAUUUAUCGGAUAAGGAUAGGCAUGCGUCAGAUUAGUUAGUUGGUAGUGUAGAGGACUACCAAGGCGAUGAUCUGUAGGGGGCCUGAGAGGGUGAACCCCCACACUGGUACUGAGACACGGACCAGACUCCUACGGGAGGCAGCAGUGAGGAAUAUUGGACAAUGGGUGGAAGCCUGAUCCAGCCAUCCCGCGUGCAGGAAGACGGCCCUAUGGGUUGUAAACUGCUUUUGUAUAGGGAUAAAUCAUCUUACGAGAUAGGAUGUUGAAGGUACUAUACGAAUAAGCAUCGGCUAACUCCGUGCCAGCAGCCGCGGUAAUACGGAGGAUGCGAGCGUUAUCCGGAUUCAUUGGGUUUAAAGGGUCCGUAGGCGGGCUAAUAAGUCAGUGGUGAAAUCUCACAGCUCAACUGUGAAAUUGCCAUUGAUACUGUUAGUCUUGAGUGAGUUUGAUGUUGCUGGAAUGUGUAGUGUAGCGGUGAAAUGCAUAGAUAUUACACGGAACACCGAAUGCGAAGGCAGGUAACAAAGACUUAACUGACGCUGAUGGACGAAGGCGUGGGGAGCGAACAGGAUUAGAUACCCUGGUAGUCCACGCAGUAAACGAUGCUAACUCGUUUUCGGGGUGAAGAACUUCGGAGACCAAGCGAAAGUGAUAAGUUAGCCACCUGGGGAGUACGUUCGCAAGAAUGAAACUCAAAGGAAUUGACGGGGGCCCGCACAAGCGGUGGAGCAUGUGGUUUAAUUCGAUGAUACGCGAGGAACCUUACCAAGGCUUAAAUGCAUUUUGACGUACCCUGAAAGGGGUAUUUCUUCGGACAGGAUGCAAGGUGCUGCAUGGCUGUCGUCAGCUCGUGCCGUGAGGUGUUAGGUUAAGUCCUGCAACGAGCGCAACCCUUAUCUUUAGUUGCCAGCGUUUAAAGACGGGGACUCUAGAGAGACUGCCAACGCAAGUUGAGAGGAAGGUGGGGACGACGUCAAGUCAUCACGGCCCUUACGUCUUGGGCUACACACGUGCUACAAUGGUCGGUACAGAGGGCAGCUACUAUGUGAAUAGGUGCGAAUCUUGAAAGCCGAUCUCAGUUCGGAUUGGAGUCUGCAACUCGACUCUAUGAAGCUGGAAUCGCUAGUAAUCGCAAAUCAGCCAUGUUGCGGUGAAUACGUUCCCGGGCCUUGUACACACCGCCCGUCAAGCCAUGGAAGCUGGGGGUACCUGAAGUUGGUGACCGUCAAAGGAGCUACCUAGGGUAAAACCAGUAACUGGGGCUAAGUCGUAACAAGGUAGCCGUACCGGAAGGUGCGGCUGGAACAUCUCUUUU
rnacentral:rRNA from 1 species